AGUGAACGCUGGCGGUAGGCCUAACACAUGCAAGUCGAACGGCAGCACAGUAAGAGCUUGCUCUUACGGGUGGCGAGUGGCGGACGGGUGAGGAAUACAUCGGAAUCUACUUUUUCGUGGGGGAUCACGUAGGGAAACUUACGCUAAUACCGCAUACGACCUACGGGUGAAAGCAGGGGAUCUUCGGACCUUGCGCGAUUGAAUGCGCCGAUGUCGGAUUAGCUAGUUGGCGGGGUAAAGGCCCACCAAGGCGACGAUCCGUAGCUGGUCUGAGAGGAUGAUCAGCCACACUGGAACUGAGACACGGUCCAGACUCCUACGGGAGGCAGCAGUGGGGAAUAUUGGACAAUGGGCGCAAGCCUGAUCCAGCCAUACCGCGUGGGUGAAGAAGGCCUUCGGGUUGUAAAGCACUUUUGUUGGGAAAGAAAAGCAGCAGGUUAAUACCCCGCUGUUCUGACGUUACCCAAAGAAUAAGCACCGGCUAACUUCGUG
rnacentral:rRNA from 1 species